UGGGGAAUAUUGCACAAUGGGGGAAACCCUGAUGCAGCAACGCCGCGUGAGUGAUGACGGCCUUCGGGUUGUAAAGCUCUGUCUUCAGGGACGAUAAUGACGGUACCUGAGGAGGAAGCCACGGCUAACUACGUGCCAGCAGCCGCGGUAAUACGUAGGUGGCAAGCGUUGUCCGGAUUUACUGGGCGUAAAGGGAGCGUAGGCGGACUUUUAAGUGAGAUGUGAAAUACCCGGGCUCAACCUGGGUGCUGCAUUUCAAACUGAAAGUCUAGAGUGCAGGAGAGGAGAGUGGAAUUCCUAGUGUAGCGGUGAAAUGCGUAGAGAUUAGGAAGAACACCAGUGGCGAAGGCGACUCUCUGGACUGUAACUGACGCUGAGGCUCGAAAGCGUGGGGAGCAAACA
rnacentral:rRNA from 1 species